rnacentral:lncRNA from 1 species
CUUAGCUUACUGUUAAACCCCUAGCAAGUGUACCAGAUCGUUAUCAAGCAAUAUAAACGGUAAGACUGAGUAUCGUUCUCCCAAAGGACUCGGUGGCCUAGAUGUUCGUGUGAUUUGAUUUUAUAAGACUUAAAAGAAGAAUAAUUUGUAAAGUUGAUGCAAAAACAGAAUUUAAACAUGCAUAUGCAAAUUUGAGUCAGUUGGCAAAAAAGACUAUGAAUUAAUUGAGUUGUUGGGGUUUACAAUUUCAUCUUUAUCCACUCUCCUAUAUCUACUAUUCUUGUUAAAUUCGCUUUAUUAUCAAUGUCAUGCAGCUAUCUAAUAGACUCAAAACCUGAUUCCUCGGCGAAGAGAGCCUAUUAUCAAUUACUAGUUCACCAUUCCUAGUCCCCCU